GGCCCGGGGUGACCAGCUGGCUCUCUUUAUCAAGCUCAGACUCCUCAAGUCCCCGCUUGGAAGAACAGUCACAGAUUCCAUAUACAGGAAUUCAAGAUCUCCAAGCAGCAGGGAGGGGGUUCAGAAUACAUAUUCAAGUUGUUGCAGCUCAAAACACUGAUGUAGACAUGGCUGGCACCAACGUGGCUCUAGGACAUACUCCAGCUGCACUAGGGAGGUGAAGCAGGAAUUCACUGAGCCCCAAGGAAUGGGAAACUGCUUCUUUUAGUUCUCCCAGAACUCUCCACAUUGAUCCCACUCUGGCUACCAGCACUAGCUGGACAGUAAUGACUCUCAGAGGUGAACACAAUAUGCCUCAACAUGCCUUUCUGGAAGUUCACAUAGGAACUGCACAGCACCUGAAUUCCAGUUCUGCAAAGCUCUUCUCUGAAUACUGGAGGUACCAGCAUGAUCCUGGCACUGCCCCUGCCUCCGCUGUCUGUCUAAUUGUAGCUCUCUGGGGCCACUCUUGUGAGUUUCUAAGUUCUGAGGACCUUAAUCUUUUCCACUGUUUCCCAGCCCUAGACAGGUAGCUGCUACCUGAUGUUGUCAUCCCGUGUUAGCUCAGUGUUCAUUUUUACCAUUAAAACACCUGCU
rnacentral:lncRNA from 1 species